rnacentral:sRNA from 1 species
AGCUCAGCGUGACUUCCGCCAGCGUUUAGAGCGUUUUCGGGGUCCGAGUUGAAGAGCAAAACCAAGUGAAGGAAACUUCACUAAGUUCAGGUGACAAGGGAAGAAGUACAGAGAAACAGAGCGCUUAAAAAGCACUGUCUGGAUAUCUUCAGAGGGAAAAAGGAGAAAGUUAAUUGAAUUGGUGACACUUCGGGUCUCUCACAGAGGAAGGGCCAAGGAGAUUAAGAUCAAGUUGGGAAUUCUCCUCCAGAAGCCAGACUCAGUUGGUGACCUUGUCAUUCCAUACAAUGAGAAGCCAGAGAAACCAGCCAAGACCCAGAAACCCUCGCUGGACGAGGCCCUGCAGUGGCGUGAUUCCCUGGACAAACUGCUACAGAACAACCAUGGACUUGCCAGUUUCAAAAGUUUCCUGAAGUCUGAAUUCAGUGAGGAAAACCUUGAGUUCUGGAUUGCCUGUGAGGAUUACAAGAAGAUCAAGUCCCCUGCCAAGAUGGCUGAGAAGGCAAAGCAAAUUUAUGAAGAAUUCAUUCAAACGGAGGCUCCUAAAGAGGUGAAUAUUGACCACUUCACUAAGGACAUC